rnacentral:rRNA from 1 species
CCUACGGGAGGCAGCAGUGGGGAAUAUUGGACAAUGGGGGCAACCCUGAUCCAGCCAUGCCGCGUGUGUGAAGAAGGCCCUCGGGUUGUAAAGCACUUUCAGUGAGGAAGAACGCCUGGUGGUUAAUACCCAUCAGGAAAGACAUCACUCACAGAAGAAGCACCGGCUAACUCCGUGCCAGCAGCCGCGGUAAUACGGAGGGUGCGAGCGUUAAUCGGAAUUACUGGGCGUAAAGCGCGCGUAGGUGGCUUGAUAAGCCGGUUGUGAAAGCCCCGGGCUCAACCUGGGAACGGCAUCCGGAACUGUCAAGCUAGAGUGCAGGAGAGGAAGGUAGAAUUCCCGGUGUAGCGGUGAAAUGCGUAGAGAUCGGGAGGAAUACCAGUGGCGAAGGCGGCCUUCUGGAUUGACACUGACACUGAGGUGCGAAAGCGUGGGUAGCAAACAGGAUUAGAUACCCCAGUAGUC